GACGAACGCUGGCGGCGUGCCUAACACAUGCAAGUCGAGCGGAGUUGUCUUUAACACUAAGCACUUUAGGAGCCAAUGGCAUAGAGUGUUAAGUGUUGAAGACAGCUUAGCGGCGGACGGGUGAGUAACGCGUGGGCAACCUGCCUCACACUGGGGGAUAACACAGGGAAACUUGUGCUAAUACCGCAUAACAUAUUGAAAGGACAUCCUUUUAAUAUCAAAGGAGCAAUCCGGUGAGAGAUGGGCCCGCGUCCAAUUAGCUAGUUGGUGAUGUAACGGACCACCAAGGCGACGAUUGGUAGCCGAACUGAGAGGUUGAUCGGCCACAUUGGGACUGAGAUACGGCCCAGACUCCUACGGGAGGCAGCAGUGGGGAAUAUUGCGCAAUGGGGGGAACCCUGACGCAGCAACGCCGCGUGAAGGAUGAAGGUUUUCGGAUCGUAAACUUCUUUGAUGAGGGACGAAAUAAAUGACGGUACCUCAAAACAAGCCACGGCUAACU
rnacentral:rRNA from 1 species